CCUACGGGUGGCAGCAGUGAGGAAUAUUGGUCAAUGGGCGCGAGCCUGAACCAGCCAAGCCGCGUGAAGGAUGACGGCCCUACGUGUUGUAAACUUCUUUUAUCAGGGAAUAAAGUCAGGCACGUGUGCCCUUUUGAAUGUACCUUAUGAAUAAGGAUCGGCUAACUCCGUGCCAGCAGCCGCGGUAAUACGGAGGAUCCGAGCGUUAUCCGGAUUUAUUGGGUUUAAAGGGGGCGUAGGCGGGGUGUUAAGUCAGUUGUUAAAGGUUGGGGCUCAACCCCAAAACUGCCAUUGAUACUGGCAGUCUUGAGUACAGUUGAGGUAGGCGGAAUGCGUGGUGUAGCGGUGAAAUGCUUAGAUAUCACGAAGAACUCCGAUUGCGAAGGCAGCUUACUAAACUGCCACUGACAUUGAUGCUCGAAAGUGUGGGUAUCAAACAGGAUUAGAUACCCGAGUAGUC
rnacentral:rRNA from 1 species